rnacentral:sRNA from 1 species
CGGUUGCGAGCGCUGUGGGGACCCUGUGCCGUGCCGCGCAGUUAGGCAGCAGCAGUGGAGCAGUAGCCGCCUUGGGAGGGAGCCAUGAAGCACUACGAGGUGGAGAUUCUGGAUGCAAAGACAAGGGAGAAGCUGUGUUUCUUGGACAAGGUGGAGCCCCACGCCACCAUUGCGGAGAUCAAGAACCUCUUCACCAAGACCCAUCCACAGUGGUACCCCGCCCGCCAGUCCCUCCGCCUGGACCCCAAGGGCAAGUCCCUGAAGGAUGAGGAUGUUCUGCAGAAGCUGCCCGUGGGCACCACGGCCACACUCUACUUCCGGGACCUGGGGGCCCAGAUCAGCUGGGUGACGGUGAGUCCUGACCCUACCCACGGCCUCUUUUCCCGUCAGCCACAUUGGGUGACUCAUCUUGCCCCCCUCUACCCUCAGGUCUUCCUAACAGAGUACGCAGGGCCCCUUUUCAUCUACCUGCUCUUCUACUUCCGAGUGCCCUUCAUCUAUGGCCAUAAAUAUGACUUCACGUCCAGUCGGCACACAGUGGUGCAGUAAGUGGGGCAGGCGGGAGGAGGGUAGGGGAAGGCAGAAGACCUGCCGGACCAGCCCCAGCUGAGCCCGCUCCCCCCGACCAGCCUCGCCUGCAUCUGCCACUCGUUCCACUACGUCAAGCGCCUGCUGGAGACGCUCUUCGUGCACCGCUUCUCCCAUGGCACCAUGCCUUUGCGCAACAUCUUCAAGAACUGCACCUACUACUGGGGCUUCGCCGCGUGGAUGGCCUAUUACAUCAAUCACCCUCUCUACACGCCCCCUACCUACGGAGCUCAGCAGGUGAAACUGGCGCUCGCCAUCUUUGUGGUAAGGAGGCUGGGUGUGGGGACGGGGUCGGGGGAGUCUGGGCGGCCCUAGGCUGAUCCUGCUUCUCUGACAGAUCUGCCAGCUCGGCAACUUCUCCAUCCACAUGGCCCUGCGGGACCUGCGGCCCGCUGGUGAGUGCCUGCUGGGGGCAGGGGGACAGCUGGGCUGGGUGAGGGGGUCUGACUUUCUCCUUCUGUCCUGCCUGCCAGGGUCCAAGACCCGGAAGAUCCCAUACCCCACCAAGAACCCCUUCACGUGGCUCUUCC